CACGUAGGGCGCGAGCGUUAUCCGGAAUUAUUGGGCGUAAAGAGCUCGUAGGCGGUGUGUCGCGUCGGCCGUGAAAACCUGGGGCUUAACUCUGGGCGUGCGGUCGAUACGGGCAUCACUAGAGUUCGGCAGGGGAGACUGGAAUUCCUGGUGUAGCGGUGGAAUGCGCAGAUAUCAGGAGGAACACCGAUGGCGAAGGCAGGUCUCUGGGCCACUACUGACGCUGAGAAGCGAAAGCAUGGGGGAGCGAACAGG
rnacentral:rRNA from 1 species